AAAUGAUUUGCCAGAUUGCGUGACAUCAGAUGCCUACUUAUUCGCGGAUGACACAAAAAUCUUCAGAAUUAUUGAAAGCAAAUCAGAUCAAAUUAUAUUGCAAGAUGAUCUAAAAAAUCUCGAGAAAUGGAGUGAUACAUGGCUGUUGAAGUUCCAUCCAGAAAAAUGCAAACACAUAAAUAUAAGUAGAGGGGUAAGAGAGAAAGACAAGUUACAAACUAUUAGGUCAUGAUAUAAGCAAAUGUAAAGAAGAGAAAGAUAUUGGAGUAGUAAUUGAUGAAGAUUUAACCUUUGAAAGACACAUAUGCGAAAAAGUGAACAAAGCUAAUUCAACUUUUGCCGCAAUUAGAAGGACAUUUAAAAACUUAAAUGAAAAAAUCUUCAUACCUCUAUACAAAACAUUAGUGCGAACACACUUAGACUAUGCUAGUUCUGUAUGGGCACCUUUUAAAAAGAAAUCCAUUGACAAAAUCGAAAAUGUACAAAAAAGGGCAACACGACAGAUACCAGGAUUCAAUAAACUGAGCUACCCGGA
rnacentral:lncRNA from 1 species